rnacentral:rRNA from 1 species
GACGAACGCUGGCGGCGUGCCUAACACAUGCAAGUCGAACGGAGAUAUUGAUGAAGCUUGCGAUUCAAUAUCUUAGUGGCGGACGGGUGAGUAACGCGUGGGUAAUCUACCUUUUAGUGAGGAACAACAGUUGGAAACGACUGCUAAUACCGCAUAAGCUGCUUCGGCAGGAAAGAUGGCCUCUGAAUAUGCUGUCGCUAAAAGAUGAGCCCGCGUCUGAUUAGCUAGUUGGUGGGGUAAAGGCCUACCAAGGCGACGAUCAGUAGCCGGCCUGAGAGGGUGAACGGCCACACUGGGACUGAGACACGGCCCAGACUCCUACGGGAGGCAGCAGUGGGGAAUAUUGCGCAAUGGGGGAAACCCUGACGCAGCGACGCCGCGUGAGCGAUGAAGGCCUUAGGGUUGUAAAGCUCUGUUUUAGGGGACGAAUGUCCAUUUCAGUAAUAUGGGAGUGGAAUGACGGUACCCUAAGAGGAAGCCCCGGCUAACUACGUG